AUGGGGAUAGCGCCCGUCACCUGUUCGGCGGAAUGCUUGACGCAGGUCGUCACCAUCGUCAGUGUCAACGAGGUCCACGACGCCGCCACAACCGUCUGCUUCGAGCCCGCAGUCAAUCUCUUCCACCAGGAGGUCGAGCAGCUCACGCAUGUGCCUUCCAUCGUCACCAACACCACCCCUUCUGCCAAGGUCGUCGCCACAGUGGCAACCAUCACCGACGUCGACCCCAAGGCCGUCGUACAGGAGUUGGAUACCUCACCCCUACCCUUCAUCAACACCUCCACCUGGGUCGUGAGUGAUGGGGAGCACGGAGUCCUUCUCGUCGUCUCCAGUAACCUCGCUGCAUCAGCGCCGACCAUGCGCUGGGUAGACUGCCCUAUCCCUGCAGGCGACUGGGUGAAGCCUGUGACUGUCGCCAUCGACGGUGCCGACGAGACACAUGACACUGCCAUCGUUGAGCGUUUGCACCCGCCUUCCUUCGAACAUCAACCACGGCCACCACCUGUACAAGUUCUGUUCAAUCACAUGGGAUCCCUAUUCAGGCCUAGCCCGUGGCCGUCGUUCCGACCUCUGUCCUUCUCAAGCUACCCGGACAUUUCAAGUAUCCAUAGUCAAUCACAUGGAGUUCUCUGCUUCAGUCCUUGGUUAAUUCGGACAGCUCAAGACCCUCCCAUGAGCUCAAUCAUCAACUCAUUGCAGUUGUCCAUGAAUCAUGAUCCGGACAACCCGAUGCCCAAAGAGUGCUCGCUCUUCUGCCUCCUUGACACACCUAUACCCUCACUGAUGUCAAAGGUGUUUCCCCAUGUCAGGCACAAGAGGCUGAUGCUACGACCGACACCGUGGCCAUCAUUUUGGAUGAAUCUUGCAGAGGGAAACGAGGACAAUAAAGGGCUUGCGGAACUCCAUGCAUGUUCCAGUACUAUUGCUCACGAGCUGCAUUGUUCAUGUAUCGCUACAGUGGUUGUGCAUAUGUUUCGGAGUGUGUAUAAACUGGGACCUCUGAGCGCCAAACUGCCAAGCAGUAUUUGUCUUCAGUUAAUGCAAAUUGAGUCGUUCAUGUCUUCUGCUCCAGCUACCCUCACAGUUCGAUGGAAACCUACCUGUAACAAGCAUCCAUUGCAUUCUACCCAGUUUCCAAAAAAGCUGCAGCUAUAUGAACUAGUCAGCCACAUGGAUAUCAGUUCUCGAUUAGUUGAUAGUGAGAGGAGUAGCAUUCCUGUAUCAACCAAGGCAUGUAACCUAUUAUUGGGCAACAUAGACUUCAAGUGUCACAUAACUCAUGGCGAAAUGGAUUCCAAAAUAUUACAACAAGCAGGAACUUCUCUGGACGGGACGUUGAUACUUUGUUUCAAUGAGCGACCACUUCUUAUUUGUACAACUCGGGUGCAUUGGAAGCUUUCUGAGACGGGUGCUUGCUGGAUCCCAAUGGUGCCAAGCUAUAUUCCUGUCCUGAGUCAUCCAAUAAAACAAUUUAUGGAUGAUCUGACCAUGAGUACUACAGAGCAACGGUUAAUUAUCUGUUGGGUGCAGUUCUCUUAUGAAUUUCGUGCUCAAGACGCCCAACCGAUGUUUUGGUUCAGUAAAAGAAGUGCUCAGCUGAAGCUACCUGGAUCGUAUUUUUUAUGCACUUGUCAGGCAGUACAGUUGCUGUACCAUUGGGUUCAUGAGCACGUCACUGAAUUGGCUGGUAGUUGUUACCUUGCGAAAUUGUGGCACACUAGCGAUUCCCAUGAUUCGGUACAUCAAUGGGUAGUUCCUAUAUGUGCCAAUAUACAAGCCGGUGGCGACCUGUUCAAGUAUAAGUGGAGCGGACAAUAUGAAGGGAGACGGUUGAAGCCUAAUUUCCUACAAGCUAGUUCUAGCCCCUGUUCUGAUGCAUAUUUCUAUGGGAACCAAUACACAGUGGUCGUUGAACUGUUGGUGUAUCUUGUUGGGCAGCUAAGUGACAUGUUUCAGAAGUGGAGAAGCCAAUAUCAUAUAGGGGAGAGCAACGAAAACGCUUAUAACUAUGGUAUAUGCCUUGGCAUCUCAGUGGUAGGGAGUGGGCUCCUUCUGAUUGAGUUGGAACUACUUAUUCCAAAACCAGGAGAGCAUUUGGUCUUGUUGCAACCCAAGCCUCCAUAG
rnacentral:rRNA from 1 species